GCAUGACAGCCAUCCGGUCUGUCCGGAUGAGGUCUUGAUCCGGCUCUCUAAACGGAUCAUCCGGGUUUUAUAACAGCUCUAGUCAUGUCCUGUGAAGGUCAAAGGCAAUAUCUUUGGGAGCCAGCUUUGCCGCGAAGAUGCUAAUGAGGUCCCGCUUCUCUGAAAACUAUUGGGUUCCAUUCUCCAGGAGGGUCCGCCAGCCUGCCUCCUUUGCCGACGGAACUGGGUAGACGAUGGACGCUGCUACAUGGGACUUGUAGCUUGUGGCUUUUAGCCCUUGUGACUAUUUUCUUUUAAAUUGUGCAA